ACGCUGACAGAAUGCUUAACACAUGCAAGUCUACUUGAACUUCGGUUUGGGUGGCGGACGGGUGAGUAACGCGUAAAGAACUUGCCUCACAGUUAGGGACAACAUUUGGAAACGAAUGCUAAUACCUGAUAUUAUGAUUUUAGGGCAUCCUAAGAUUAUGAAAGUUAUAUACGCUGUGAGAGAGCUUUGCGUCCCAUUAGCUAGUUGGAGAGGUAACGGCUCACCAAGGCGAUGAUGGGUAGCCGGCCUGAGAGGGUGAACGGCCACAAGGGGACUGAGACACGGCCCUUACUCCUACGGGAGGCAGCAGUGGGGAAUAUUGGACAAUGGACCAAAAGUCUGAUCCAGCAAUUCUGUGUGCACGAUGACGUUUUUCGGAAUGUAAAGUGCUUUCAGUUGGGAAGAAAAAAAUGACGGUACCAACAGAAGAAGUGACGGCUAAAUACGUGCCAGCAGCCGCGGUAAUACGUAUGUCACAAGCGUUAUCCGGAUUUAUUGGGCGUAAAGCGCGUCUAGGUGGUUAUGUAAGUCUGAUGUGAAAAUGCAGGGCUCAACUCUGUAUUGCGUUGGAAACUGCAUGACUAGAGUACUGGAGAGGUAAGCGGAACUACAAGUGUAGAGGUGAAAUUCGUAGAUAUUUGUAGGAAUGCCGAUGGGGAAGCCAGCUUACUGGACAGAUACUGACGCUAAAGCGCGAAAGCGUGGGUAGCAAACAGGAUUAGAUACCCUGGUAGUCCACGCCGUAAACGAUGAUUACUAGGUGUUGGGGGUCGAACCUCAGCGCCCAAGCUAACGCGAUAAGUAAUCCGCCUGGGGAGUACGUACGCAAGUAUGAAACUCAAAGGAAUUGACGGGGACCCGCACAAGCGGUGGAGCAUGUGGUUUAAUUCGACGCAACGCGAGGAACCUUACCAGCGUUUGA
rnacentral:rRNA from 1 species